rnacentral:rRNA from 1 species
UACGUAGGGCGCGAGCGUUGUCCGGAAUUAUUGGGCGUAAAGCGCACGUAGGCGGCAUUGUAAGUCGGAUGUGAAAUCCCUCGGCUCAACCAAGGAAGUGCAUCCGAAACUGCAGUGCUUGAGUACUUAAGAGGAUCGCGGAAUUCCCGGUGUAGAGGUGAAAUUCGUAGAUAUCGGGAGGAACACCAGUGGCGAAGGCGGCGAUCUGGGGAAGAUACUGACGCUGAGGUGCGAAAGCGUGGGGAGCAAACAGG